AUCUUGUCCACCGCAUCCUGCACUGAGUUCAGUAAUAGAGCUCAAUGAUAAAUACAAGAAUGAAACAUACAUCAUUUUCAUCAGCUUGACUCGUAAAAUCUAGAUUCUGAAAGUAUUGCUGAUCUUGAGCUGACAUGUUCUCAUUGCACAAUUGCUCAAUAUCGUUGUUAUUACCAAAUUAUAUUAUGAAAAACAUAUACUGCAGACCAAAUGCCAGAAACAUAAGAAAUAAAUCAAGCUGAAAAUAAAUCUAGAUUUGAAAAGUAAGACCUUGCAUUGCUUAUCUUGGGCUG
rnacentral:misc_RNA from 1 species